rnacentral:misc_RNA from 1 species
GGAUCAUUAACGAGCAGCCAACCGAGCGUUGACUACUUUGUUGUCUCAGUCAGUCAGUCAGUCAGGCCCCGCGGCAGGCACGCAUGAAGCGCUGUCGCGGGGCUGUGUCCGCUUCGUCUUUCGGGGUACCUAUUACUGUCCUCGAUGCGACCCACGGUGACGGCUUAGAGCCCGUGUGCUCGCCGGGUCGCGACGGUUCAAAGAGUGGCCGGCUUGGCUCAGCUCGAGAGUCAGCCGGCGACCGCCCCGCCGUCGCAAAAAAACAGGAGGUUAGUCCGGGGUACCUAUGCCCUGCCCGCGCUCGCUCUCGCGCCGGCAGGGCGGUAGCUCCAGCUCGCUAUUUGGCCGCGAGGUUCAAAGAGACGACCGUGCCUUAACUUGCUCUCUCCGUGGGCAACGGUCGCCGCCCCGGGCCUCCUAAAAUUUCCUUUAAUAAAACGAAAUUAUUUUUUAAAAAUGUGUGUCGGCUCGAUCGUGGCACACGAAAAACAAAACAAAAGUCUUAUAACUUUGAGCGGUGGAUCACUCGGCUCGUGCGUCGAUGA